GACGAACGCUGGCGGCGUGCCUAAUACAUGCAAGUAGAACGCUGAAGCUUGGUGCUUGCACCGAGCGGAUGAGUUGCGAACGGGUGAGUAACGCGUAGGUAACCUGCCUGGUAGCGGGGGAUAACUAUUGGAAACGAUAGCUAAUACCGCAUAAGAGUAGAUGUUGCAUGACAUUUGCUUAAAAGGUGCAAUUGCAUCACUACCAGAUGGACCCGCGUUGUAUUAGCUAGUUGGUGAGGUAACGGCUAACCAAGGCAACGAUACAUAGCCGACCUGAGAGGGUGAUCGGCCACACUGGGACUGAGACACGGCCCAGACUCCUACGGGAGGCAGCAGUAGGGAAUCUUCGGCAAUGGACGGAAGUCUGACCGAGCAACGCCGCGUGAGUGAAGAAGGUUCUCGGAUCGUAAAGCUCUGUUGUAAGAGAAGAACGAGUGUGAGAGUGGAAAGUUCACACUGUGACGGUAUCUUACCAGAAAGGGACGGCUAACUACGUG
rnacentral:rRNA from 1 species